rnacentral:misc_RNA from 1 species
UUUCCGUAGGUGAACCUGCGGAAGGAUCAUUAUUGUAUAACCGAGGUGCGAGGGCCGUCGCUGACCCGAAAGGUCGUGCACGCCCGAGUGCCCUCACACACAUCCAUCUCACCCCUAUGUGCACCACCGCGUGGGUCCCCCUUUGGCUUGUUCGGAGGGGGGCUUACGUUUUCACACAAACUUUGUAUGCAGUGUAGAAUGUAUUUUUUGUUUUUGCGAUCACGCAAUCAAUACAACUUUCAACAAUGGAUCUCUUGGCUCUU